GACGAACGCUGGCGGCGUGCUUAACACAUGCAAGUCGAACGGAAAGGCCCUGCUUUUGUGGGGUGCUCGAGUGGCGAACGGGUGAGUAACACGUGAGUAACCUGCCCUUGACUUUGGGAUAACUUCAGGAAACUGGGGCUAAUACCGGAUAGGAGCUCCUGCUGCAUGGUGGGGGUUGGAAAGUUUCGGCGGUUGGGGAUGGACUCGCGGCUUAUCAGCUUGUUGGUGGGGUAGUGGCUUACCAAGGCUUUGACGGGUAGCCGGCCUGAGAGGGUGACCGGCCACAUUGGGACUGAGAGACGGCCCAGACUCCUACGGGAGGCAGCAGUGGGGAAUAUUGCACAAUGGACGGAAGCCUGAUGCAGCAACGCCGCGGGCGGGAUGACGGCCGUCGUGUUGUAAACCGCUUUCGCCUGUGACGAAGCGUGAGUGACGGUAAUGGGUAAAAAAACACCGGCUAACUACGUG
rnacentral:rRNA from 1 species